GACGAACCGUGCGAACGUUGUUCGGAUUCACUGGGCUUAAAGGGCGCGUAGGCGGACGGUCAAGUCAGGGGUGAAAUCUUUCAGCUCAACUGGAAAAGUGCCUCUGAUACUGAUCGUCUCGAGGGAGGUAGGGGCAUGUGGAACUUCCGGUGGAGCGGUGAAAUGCGUAGAGAUGUGGAGGAACACCGAUGGCGAAGGCAGCCCCCUGGGCGUAACACUGACGCUCCAUGCACGAAAGCGUGGGGAGCAAACGAGGAUUAGAGACCCGAGAUG
rnacentral:rRNA from 1 species